rnacentral:rRNA from 1 species
UACGUAGGGUGCAAGCGUUGUCCGGAAUUAUUGGGCGUAAAGAGCUCGUAGGCGGUUUGUCGCGUCUGCUGUGAAAACUCGGGGCUUAACUCCGGGCCUGCAGUGGGUACGGGCAGACUGGAGUCCGGUAGGGGAGCGUGGAAUUCCUGGUGUAGCGGUGAAAUGCGCAGAUAUCAGGAGGAACACCAGCGGCGAAGGCGGCGCUCUGGGCCGGUACUGACGCUGAGGAGCGAAAGCGUGGGUAGCAAACAGG